rnacentral:rRNA from 1 species
GAUGAACGCUGGCGGUGUGCCUAAUACAUGCAAGUCGAGCGAACAGACGAGGAGCUUACUCCUCUGACGUUAGCGGCGGACGGGUGAGUAACACGUGGAUAACCUACCUAUAAGACUGGGAUAACUUCGGGAAACCGGAGCUAAUACCGGAUAACAUGUUGAACCGCAUGGUUCAACAGUGAAAGACGGUCUUGCUGUCACUUAUAGAUGGAUCCGCGUCGCAUUAGCUAGUUGGUAAGGUAACGGCUUACCAAGGCAACGAUGCGUAGCCGACCUGAGAGGGUGAUCGGCCACACUGGAACUGAGACACGGUCCAGACUCCUACGGGAGGCAGCAGUAGGGAAUCUUCCGCAAUGGGCGAAAGCCUGACGGAGCAACGCCGCGUGAGUGAAGAAGGUCUUCGGAUCGUAAAACUCUGUUACUAGGGAAGAACAAAUGUGUAAGUAACUAUGCACGUCUUGACGGUACCUAAUCAGAAAGCCACGGCUAACUACGUG